GAUGAAAAACGCAGCGAAAUGCGAUAAGUAAUGUGAAUUGCAGAAUUCAGUGAAUCAUCGAAUCUUUGAACGCACAUUGCGCCCGCCAGUAUUCUGGCGGGCAUGCCUGUUCGAGCGUCAUUUCAACCAUCAAGCCCUGCUUGCGUUGGGGUCCUGCGGCUGCCCGCAGGCCCUGAAAACCAGUGGCGGGCUCGCUAGUCACACCGAGCGCAGUAAUACAUCUCGCUUUGGGCGUGCGGCGGGUUCUUGCCGUUAAACACCCCCUUUUUACCAAGGUUGACCUCGGAUCAGGUAGGAAUACCCGCUGAACUUAAGCAUAUCAAUAAGCGGAGGA
rnacentral:misc_RNA from 1 species